GGAUGUAGUAGUAACCAGAUGAUUUACUGAUGAGUAUCAUGCAACCAUUCUACUUGGAAUCUUCUAACAAGUAAAAGCCAGACAAGAAUGUUAUUUUCUUCCAAUGUAAGACAUGUCUCUUUCCAGACUGAGAACUUUUUUCAACAAGCCUUGAUAAACAGUUACAAAUUGCUUUUUUUCCGUGCAGUUGAAUAAAAUUGCU